rnacentral:rRNA from 1 species
CCUACGGGAGGCAGCAGUGAGGAAUAUUGGUCAAUGGCCGAGAGGCUGAACCAGCCAAGUCGCGUGAGGGAAGACGGCCCUACGGGUUGUAAACCUCUUUUGUCGGGGAGCAAAGCGAGUCACGUGUGCCUCAUUGAGCGUACCCGAAGAAAAAGCAUCGGCUAACUCCGUGCCAGCAGCCGCGGUAAUACGGAGGAUGCGAGCGUUAUCCGGAUUUAUUGGGUUUAAAGGGUGCGCAGGCGGAGGUGCAAGUCAGCGGUCAAAUUGCGGGGCUCAACCCCGUACUGCCGUUGAAACUGCAGCCCUUGAGUGCGCGAGAAGUAGGCGGAAUGCGAGGUGUAGCGGUGAAAUGCAUAGAUAUCACGCAGAACUCCGAUUGCGAAGGCAGCAUACCGGGGCGCAACUGACGCUCAUGCACGAAAGCGUGGGUAUCGAACAGGAUUAGAUACCCCGGUAGUC